rnacentral:rRNA from 1 species
AUUGAACGCUGGCGGCAGGCCUAACACAUGCAAGUCGAACGGAUCCUUCGGGAUUAGUGGCGGACGGGUGGGUAACACGUGGGAACGUGCCCUUUGGUUCGGAACAACUCAGGGAAACUUGAGCUAAUACCGGAUGUGCCCUUCGGGGGAAAGAUUUAUCGCCAUUGGAGCGGCCCGCGUCUGAUUAGCUAGUUGGUGGGGUAAAGGCCCACCAAGGCUACGAUCAGUAGCUGGUCUGAGAGGAUGAUCAGCCACAUUGGGACUGAGACACGGCCCAAACUCCUACGGGAGGCAGCAGUGGGGAAUCUUGCGCAAUGGGCGAAAGCCUGACGCAGCCAUGCCGCGUGAAUGAUGAAGGUCUUAGGAUUGUAAAAUUCUUUCACCGGGGACGAUAAUGACGGUACCCGGAGAAGAAGCCCCGGCUAACUUCGUGCCAGCCGCCGCAGUAA